UCCUCCGUGGCGCAAUUGGCUAGCGCGUCUGACUGUUACUAUUCCAUAAUAACUGUUAUCAGGAGGUUGAAAGUUCGAGCCUUUCCGGGGGAG